rnacentral:rRNA from 1 species
UACAGAGGUCUCAAGCGUUGUUCGGAUUCAUUGGGCGUAAAGGGUGCGUAGGUGGUUCGGUAAGUCGGGUGUUAAACCCCCAGGCUCAACCUGGGGACGCCACUCGAUACUGCUGUGACUAGAGUCCGGUAGGGGAGCGUGGAAUUCCUGGUGUAGCGGUGAAAUGCGUAGAUAUCGGAAGGAACAUCAGUGGCGAAGGCGACUUCCUGGACCAAUACUGACGCUCAGGUGCGAAAGCGUGGGGAGCAAACAGG